AAUGAACGUUGGCGGCGUGGAUUAGGCAUGCAAGUCGAGCGCGAUACCUCCUUCGGGAGGUGGAAAGCGGCGAAAGGGAGAGGAACACGUGGAUUAUCUACCCCUGGACCCAGGAUAGCUGCGGGAAACUGCAGGUAAUACUGGAUAACGUCUCCGGACCAAAGGUGUGAUUCCGUCCAGGGAGGAGUUCGCGUCCUAUUAGCUAGUUGGUAGGGUAGCGGCCUACCAAGGCGAUGANGGGUACCGGGUGUGAGAGCAUGGCCCGGCUCACUGGGACUGAGACACUGCCCAGACACCUACGGGUGGCUGCAGUCGAGGAUCUUCGGCAAUGGGCGCAAGCCUGACCGAGCGACGCCGCGUGCGGGAUGAAGGCCUCGG
rnacentral:rRNA from 1 species